AUAUUUGUUUUCCAAUAUUUCUGAUAAUUACUGAUAAGUGUCAUGCUGUGGCUGAGUCUGUCUGUGUGUUCCAUCAGUGUCACCUGGACCAGGUUGUGUUACAGGUGCAGAAAAAAGAUGAGAUCAUUCAUCAGGGAAAGUUGAAGUUAAAACGUUUUGAGGAAACCGUUGGAGAGUACACCAACAUCAUUGAGGAGCAGAAGAGGCAGUUAGAGGAAGCAUUGGAGAGGAC
rnacentral:lncRNA from 1 species